rnacentral:misc_RNA from 1 species
UUAUUAAAUUAACUUUUUACUCCGACGUAAGAAUGCAGUGUUUUGAUGACCUCCGGGGGGAAUGCCGCGAACGGCAGGGUCGCCCCCGAAGCAACAAGAUGUGUUCACAAAGGGUUGGAGGUCGGGAUUUCUCCCUCACUCAGUAAUGAUCCCUCCGCAGGUUCACCUACGGAGA